UGUUACAUGAUAGCAAUUAUCAUGUAUAUUUUAUAACAUUUUAUAUUAUAUAUUAAUACAUUUUACUAUAUAUAUUAUAUAUAUCCUAGUUUAGUUAUAUUAUAUUUACUCUACAGAAUUUACCUAUGGGAAAUUGUUUUAGCUUAGUCAUGCAUGAGCAUGCAAAUAUUUUAGUUUAUUACGUUACCACAAGUGCGUAAUGGACGGGAACGGUUACCGCAAGAAGAUUGUAAAAAUCUUCCCACGAAAUGACACUGCAAGAAUAAAACGUUCCUCUCUGAACAUAUAUAAGGGAGAGCACAACUCUUAUGCAUUAUUCAUUCAAUAGGCCUCAGCGCCUCAGUUACAUUAUUCAUAGGCCUCAGCGCCUUACGUGAAUAUCAUUUUGGAAAAGCUAUUAUAAAGAAGAUUGUUAAGGAAAGAUUGUUACAAGUUAUAUACGAAAGAGUAUUGAAGUUAAAAAGCGACGUUACGUGAAGAAGACGAAAGAGUUGUGCUCAGUCAGACAGAAAAGAGAUAAGUUGAACUGAUAUAGUUUUAAUUAUAUAGUAAUUGGAUAUAGUAUUAUAAAGACGCUACUUAUAGCAAGUUAAAGAAAUAAAUAGUUAUAUAAACGUAACUGACUCACACUGAUUCUUUGUUGCGAGAGAAAUCGAACCAAAACGCGGGAAAUAUUAAUAUUAAGGACCACGCUCGUAACAAAAUGGGGGCCCGUCCGGGAAACAACUGAAUCUAAAGAUUGAAUCUGAAUUGAAUUGAGUUCUAUUGAGAGAUAUUAGUGAGAAAUAGAAUUUUAUUAUUGAGAUCGAAUUUCAAGUAAUUGACACAAAAGUCAAAGUUCAAAGCAAAAUUUAAGAAAAUUGGUUUGUUAACAAAAAGAAAAAUUGUCGGCAAUUGUAAUUAACACAAAAAGUCAAAGUAAAAGAAUUGGUUUGGAAGAAAAAAAUAAAUUAAAGUCUAAAGUAGCGAAAUUUUACAGUUAUUCAGUGUGAUCCAGUUAUAUUGGAAAUAAUGUCUGUGUUUAACCCUCAGGUGGGAACGUUCUCUUUCGGAAUGGGAGCGGUUGAUCUUCUUGUUAUUCUUCUGGUUGUCGUUUUGCUGUUAUGUUAUUGAUAGGUAUCUUUCAGUUUUAAUGCAUGUUAUAAAAUUCUAUUGUCGACUUAGUCGGAGGCUGAAGUACAAGAGUGCAACGCUGAAGGUUCACUACGUCUUCAUAAAAAGGUUUCUGCUAAGAUUGUUCCUAACGUCUACUCAGUGAUGUUUAUCAGUGGGGAAAGAUUGAGUAAUUUUGACCACAUGGUUAGUGGGUUGGUUGUAAUAGUUUGGUAAAACUCCCGUGAAUUAAAAUAUUAUUAAAGAGUAAAAGUUAUUAAACGAAGUAAAAUUGAAUUUAAAUAUUAUCGGGCAGAGAUCCCGUUGUUGAAAUUUAUUGGCGAGCAUUGAGCCGUCUUAAAAAAGGGAGUAUGUAGUUUAUUGAAGAUGUUGUUCUUCUGUUGUUGAAUCUUUCCUAUUCUGUUAUUCUGUUGCUAGGGUUUAAGGACGUCUCUUCGUGUUGUAUUGAGUUCUCAAAUUUCAUCUUUUCUAUAGAGAUUUAUUUUAAAGCAAAUUUAACAGCUAAAUGACAAUUAAGUAAAUUGCAUGCAUAUAACAGUGUUCGAAGUGAAUUAAAUAAAACGGUAAAUAUACGGUAAAUAUGAAUUAAAAUUGUGUAUGUUAUUAAAGUUAUUUCAAAAUAGAGGAGUAUAUAAGCAAAUAAGUAAAAGUAUAAAGAUUAAGCAAAAUAUAAGUAAAGCCAAGCGGUAAAUUUUAAGUAGAUCUAAGCAUUUGGAAUUGUAAUCAUAAGUUAAAAGUUUAAAUGAAUAAAAAUAUUAAAUAGCCAAAUAAGUAUAGCAGUAAACAUAUUUAGUCUGUCUGUCUUGUCUGUCUUGAGCGCAACACAUCUGAUACAAGCAUUUGGCAUUUGCUUGAAUAUGUCACGAAAGGUCGCAAUGUCAAUGGAUUAUAAAUUAAUGGCCAUGAUACACAUGGAUAUAUUUUACAAGAUCAAGACUGAAUAUUUUACAGACAUUACAGCUUUAUGUUGAUGAUAUAAUUCGAAGCUAUUAUCAAGAUUUCAUUCAAUACUACAAGAUGCUGAGUCUAACUGGAUGCCCGUUUAAAUUUGGAUUACGCAAGUUAUGGUGAUAACUGGACUUAUAAUUGGUCACAUCCAACUGUUAUGAAUUAUGAAUAACGUUACAAACAAGAACGCUCGAAAGUUCUUGCGAACUUUCUUUCUUCAAGGAGGAGGGUGUUACAUGAUAGCAAUUAUCAUGUAUAUUUUAUAACAUUUUAUAUUAUAUAUUAAUACAUUUUACUAUAUAUAUUAUAUAUAUCAUAGUUUAGUUAUAUUAUAUUUACUCUAAAGAAUUGACCUAUGGGAAAUUGUUUUACGCAUGGGAAGUUCUUUUAGCUUGGUCAUGCAUGAGCAUGCAAAUAUUUUAGUUUAUUACGUUACCACAAGUGCGUAAUGGACGGGAACGGUUACCGCAAGAAGAUUGUAAGAAUCUUCCCACGAAAUGACACUGCAAGUUUAAAAGUUCCUCUCUGAACAGUAUAUAAGGGAGGGCACAACUCUAGUACAUUCAUUCAUAGGCCUCCGUGCCUUACAUGAUUCAUUCAUAGGCCUCCGUGCCUUACAUGAUUCAUAGUAGGCCUCCGCGCCUUACAUUAUUCAUUCAAUAGGCCUCAGCGCCUCAGUUACAUUAUUCAUAGGCCUCAGCGCCUUACGUGAAUAUCAUUUUGGAAAAGCUAUUAUAAAGAAGAUUGUUAAGGAAAGAUUGUUACAAGUUAUAUACGAAAGAGUAUUGAAGUUAAAAAGCGACGUUACGUGAAGAAGACGAAAGAGUUGUGCUCAGUCAGACAGAAAAGAGAUAAGUUGAACUGAUAUAGUUUUAAUUAUAUAGUAAUUGGAUAUAGUAUUAUAAAGACGCUACUUAUAGCAAGUUAAAGAAAUAAAUAGUUAUAUAAACGUAACUGACUCACACUGAUUCUUUGUUGCGAGAGAAAUCGAACCAAAACGCGGGAAAUAUUAAUAUUAAGGACCACGCUCGUAACA
rnacentral:lncRNA from 1 species